AUUUUCUUAGUAUAUAUCAAAGUACAUUUAAUUUCCAAUUAAAAAGACUAUUAUUAUAGAGCAAAUA
rnacentral:tRNA from 1 species